rnacentral:misc_RNA from 1 species
AUCAACACACAGCUGUCAUAAUUCCACGUAUGAAUUUAAAAUUAAUGUAUUUCACCAAUUUAUCUACAAAUUCAUAGAUAUUCGUAUCGUUUAGAGCCCUAAUCUGUAGAGGAACAACUCUUCUCUAUUUAGAGACAUUGCGUUUGCAGUUCACAUCUGAAAUCAGAGAAUAACCCACUCAAAAAUGGAAGGAUCACUCUUGGAACCUACUCUUUACACCGUGAAAGGCAUGCUAAUCUUGGACAAUGAUGGACACCGCAUUUUGGCUAAGUACUACGAUCCGGCAAUCUUUCCCACCGCAAAAGAGCAGAAAACAUUUGAGAAGAACCUGUUCAACAAAACUCAUCGAGCAAACGCUGAAAUCAUCAUGCUAGAUGGUUUGACCUGUGUGUACAGGUCCAACGUAGAUUUGUUUUUCUAUGUUAUGGGUAGUUGUCACGAAAACGAGCUGAUCCUAAUGAGUGUUCUCCAGUGUCUCUACGAAUCUAUCAGUCAGAUUCUGCGCAAAAACGUGGAGAAACGGGUUGUAAUGGAAAAUCUUGACAUAGUUAUGCUGGCUAUGGACGAGAUUUGUGACGGAGGGAUAAUUCUGGAGGCUGAUUCACAGUCGGUCGUUCAACGGGUCGCACUGAGAACGGACGAUAUCCCUCUAGGAGAGCAGACCGUCGCACAGGUCUUCCAGUCCGCGAAGGAACAACUGAAGUGGUCGCUGCUUAAAUGAGAAACAAUGGAGACCUUGAGUCUCUUUAAUAUUUUCGAUGACACACCGUCAUAAACUGUGAAACAAGUGAGUGUAGUAUUCAAAAAGUACCUAAAGACAGAUUCAAUAGAGAUGUUAACAUUGAUUGAGGUCCUUAUGUAUCUGAUUCAAUACAUGGUGAGGUUUAUAAUGAAUAUAUUCAAAUGUGUAUCUGACUGAUUCAAUAGUGGGGUUUACAAUUGUGAUAUUGAGGUCCUAACAUUGAUUGAGGUCCUUAUGUAUCUGAUUCAAUAAAUGGUGAGGUUUACAAUGAAUAUAUUCAAAUGUAUAUAUAAUUGAUUCAAUAGUGAAGUUUACAAUGGAUAGGGUAUAUUCCAAUGUAGUUCACAAAUUGUAAAAGCGAGUGUAUUAUUCAAAAGGUUUGACCGAUUCAACAGUAGCCCAAGGUUCACAAUUAUUGAUAUAUUCAAAUGUGGUUCACAAAUUUUAAAAGCCAGUGUAGUAUCCAAAAGUAUCUGACUGAUUCAAUAGUGGGGGUUCAAAAUUGUGAUAUAUUCCAAUUUAGUUCACAAAUUGUAAAAGCGAGUGAAGUAUUCAAAAGUUUAGACCAAUUCAAUAGUGAGGUUCACAAUUGAUAUAUUCAAAUAUAUUUCACAAAUUGUUAAAACCAGUGUAGUAUUCAAAAGUUUACACCGAUUUAAUAGUGGGGUUUACAAUGGAUAGAUUUGAAGGUACAUUAUAGAUUGUCAUAAACUGAUAAAGUGAUUGUAGUAUUCAAAAAGUAUGAGACAGAUUUAAUAGUGGGGAUUGCAGUGGAUUGAUCUAGAGGUGGCCUUCAUUAUAAACUUUUAAUAAUGUUAGAAAGAUAUUCAAAAUAAGGUAUACAUUUAAUAGAUAAUAUUUUCAUAUUAAUUUGUUAAAUUCAACACUGUACUUAGAGUUGCUUAUAAUAAUGUUUAAAUAAAAACACUUCAAUCACAUGGCCUACUUUUGAACAAAUUAAUAAAAACAAUAUAAAAACUUGUAGUGCCCUUUAUUUUUUUUAAAACUUUAAAAUAGUUCAACAACUAGU